AACGAACGCUGGCGGCAGGCUUAACACAUGCAAGUCGAGCGCCCCGCAAGGGGAGCGGCAGACGGGUGAGUAACGCGUGGGAAUCUACCCAUCCCUACAGAACAACUCCGGGAAACUGGAGCUAAUACCGUAUACGCCCUUCGGGGGAAAGAUUUAUCGGGGAUGGAUGAGCCCGCGUUGGAUUAGCUAGUUGGUGGGGUAAUGGCCUACCAAGGCGACGAUCCAUAGCUGGUCUGAGAGGAUGAUCAGCCACACUGGGACUGAGACACGGCCCAGACUCCUACGGGAGGCAGCAGUGGGGAAUAUUGGACAAUGGGCGAAAGCCUGAUCCAGCCAUGCCGCGUGAGUGAUGAAGGCCCUAGGGUUGUAAAGCUCUUUCACCGGUGAAGAUAAUGACGGUAACCGGAGAAGAAGCCCCGGCUAACUUCGUGCCAGCCGCCGCGGUAACAC
rnacentral:rRNA from 1 species